CGCCGGAAAAGUAGUUUUCCGGCCGGGUCCGAUCGCACGACUGAGCUUCUUCGAUCCAGCUUCCGGGGCAGCGACGGAGCAAGGCGACACCAGAGGGAGACUGGGCUUGGAGCGGCGAUCACAGAGAGGUCCGGGUCGUGGCCUGAGGUGCAGCGACGGCGCUGUUGGAGCCGGGUCGGGUCGGCGAAAACCCGAGGGUUCUGAAGGUCG
rnacentral:lncRNA from 1 species